rnacentral:sRNA from 1 species
GUCAGGUGUGGUGGUGCAAACCUGUAAUCCCAGCAGCUCAGGAGGCUGAGGCAAGAGGAUCACAAGUUCAAAUAUAGCCUCAGCAACUUAGUGAGGCCCUAAGCAACUCAGUGAGACCCUGUCUCUA